UUCUCAUUAGAAGAAACUACAGGCAAGAAGACUCCAGUAAAGACAAGGCACAUAGUCACAAAUAAAGGAAGACUUCAACAGUAACAGCAAAAUUAAAGUUCUGUGCCCUCAUGGUGGCUCCUUUUUGGCUGGUGUCCUCACUAACAAAUCAGACUUCUCUUGGCUGUAAAAGCUCCUGGGGGCUUGCAUGAACACUUGGCUGUUUUGACUAUCUGGCCUGGAGAAGCUGGAGGCUUGGUUUCCAGAAAGAAGAGUUGGUGCUGAGAGGUGGGUUCCAGGGAGAAAAUGAGGCCCAAAGAGAACAUGAAGAUCCUGACUGAAGGACAGGUCUGGGAAGUGAGGGAAGAUUCUGGAGGUGAGGUAAAUGCAUGGAGACCAAUGACAGGAGAUGCCCAGCACCAAAUAAUCGUGCCUGAGACCAGAAACUGCAAGCAGAAUCGUAGCAGAAUCCAGCAGGAGUUUCUGCCCAACCUGCUCUAGCCAACGACCUGCCUGCAGGGAAAUCAAGACCUUGGGAACAUCAUGGGGAAGCUGUAACAGCCGUAGAGAAUAAGCAUAGAAAAAAACAAACCCUGCUGAAGUUUUUGCAGAGGUGAUAUUCUUUGUUUUCCCAAGGAUUCUGGAUGAACCUUAAGGCGAGCUAUGAGAUGGAGAAGGAAGCAGAGAGGGGGAAGUGCUGCUGUUAAUUUGGCAUUCAUCUUAAGGAGCUGAAUGGCAGCCAGAAGUAGUGCAGAUGGCAUCUCAAUUCCCUCUUCUUUUGAAGAAAAUGUAUUUUUAAUACAGUAACUUUUUGUUUCCAUUAAGACAUUUUUAGCUGUGGAAUAAGGACAGUUAAAGGCAGUAGUUAAACCACCAGCUUUUAGAUGACAUUUCUGAAAGCAGUUUAUUUCCCAGAGUGAUAGAUGUAUGAAACAUAUGGUUUCUUCAAAGCCACAACCAAGGAGCUGGAUAGUAAGGAUGCAGGGGGUUAGUUGGCAGACACCCUAGGAAGGAAGCGAAAGGACACAGAACUGGUGAUAGUGUUGCUUUUGCAUAUGGGUAUGGUGGUGACAGGAGGAUUUGUCUGUAUUAAAUUGUAUUUUACACUGUUCUCAUCAAAUCCAAACUCUAAGCUUGUCCAGAUAAACUGCGUUCC
rnacentral:lncRNA from 7 species